GUGGAUACAAGUAUUUUCAGCUUGAAAAACAUUCAUGGUAAGGCUGUGUUAUAAUUGUAUGGACAAAACCCGUUUUUAGAUAUACAGUUCACCUGAAUGAAGAGCUAUUUAACCUCUACUAUGGGAAGACGCUCUUGACAGAUGUUUGGCAGUUGAAUGUGGCAUGGAGGGAGCUAUCUCAGGCUGGGAUAAAGUAUGUAAAUAUAGUCCAUACCAUAGUAAUUUGUUACUGGGAAAAGAAAGUCACUGGUACGCGACUCUAUAGUACUUAUUCUGGGUCUUACUUGGAUGUCUUGUGCACAGCGUAGACCUUAAUAGCAGCCAUCUCCCAUGGAGGGUUCAUGGCAGCGUGGCAGGUUAGGAAAAGUGGGGGAGACAUAACUUGUAAUACCUUAGACAGUUUGUGGACAUUAGUUGUUCUCUCAGAUUCUCAAGAGGAGAAGAGACUGAUGGGCAAAGCAAAAGAGAAAUCUGGAAGAUGAUACACAGAACACAAAGUGGCUAUGCUACACUGUUUCCACUAAGCCUCCCAGAGUGAGUCACAGCAGGAGGCACAGAUUGAAGCCUAUCAAGGUGUUCUUCAAGAAGUUAUCCAAAUGCGUAAUGUCACACACUGGGAGAACUUGACCACCUCCAGUUGUGAAAUAGAAGAAUGGCUACUCUUUCCUUUACCAAAAUUGGAUAGCUUGUUCUUGGUGAGACCAACCUGUAUGGUGUCUUCUUUCUCCCCAGCUGAAUGGUGGGCAUAACUUUUGCCUCUACAUUCCUCUGUAGACCAGGAAGGGAAGUUGAAUCCAGUGGUGAUGUGAGAAAAUGGUCCCAGAAUUUUCAGAGUACGCAGGUUCCUCUGGUCUAUGGAUGUGAACUCUAGGGUGGUUGGAACAAAGCCACUUAUACCUAUGCCUCAAGGUAUAGGUCAAUACCUAUACCUUAUACCUCAAGAGAACCCCUUUUGAGUUCUCUUUCUGAGGACCUGGCUGUGAGGCAGUUUAUGUUGCCUGGACCCUGUGAGGUCUGUUCCAGCGCCUGGUCUCCCCUGCUCUGCAGAAUAUGAGCUGAGAAAAUGUGCUGUAGUCAGAGACAACCCCACCAAGAAGAGUGGAGUCAGCCUGGAGAAGAUAGGAAGCUGCUAUACCUGGAGAUGCUGGACACGCAGACAGCAGGACUGACAAGCUGAUGAUCAAGGAAGUCACUAGAAACGAGAGACAGGGAGGAAGGUAGGCCUCAUGCUUCACAGUGAAGAGGCAGAGGCAUAUCCUCGGACUCACACUGCUUCAGAGAAGAAAGUACAUACAUCUGUCAGACAGUAAGGAAAGAUAGCCAAGUUGAAGCAUGUUACGGUAAAAUAGGAUAGAAAAAGGAUUUUUCGAUACAAUGAAUUGCCUCAGAUCUGACAGGGAGAUGUGACUGGUAUUAUACCAUUAAUAGCAUUUAAGACUAAAAAGACAACUGACAUAGGCUUGGCCAAUUUUUCAAAAAACGUACUGGAAAAAAAAAACCCCAAAUCUCUCAUAGUGAAGGGAAUGCUGUAUUCCUUUAUAUUUUUCCCUCUGGGCGGGCAUGGAGGACAUGUGUUACUUCUCUGUGGAGAAUGUCGGAUUUUCAGGUAGCCAUGAUGUGAGUGUGAAUCAUCUUCUGUAGAUCAUAAAAAGGCAAUUUUAAAGUAGUGAAACCAAGGUGAUUUUGAAGGAAAUGUUAUAAGGAAUUAUAACGAACAAUGAUUGAAAAUGGAGGUUUGGGCCGUGGAACCUGUAUCUUUGAACUUACCCAGCGUGGCCUGUGGGAAAAAUAAAAGAGAAGCCCUGAUGAGGCAUGGUCUGACUUGAUCUGAUACACAAUUAUAGAAAGGAUGCCUUCAUAUUACAAUAUCGUAAACAGGGAAAGAACUGUGUAUGAUAGCCCAUCAAAAAAGUGUGUUUGAGAUCCAACACCUUGAUACUAAAAGAGAUAUAGUCACAGGGCACCUGCAUGGCUCAGUCAGUUAAGCGUCCGACUUCAGUUCAGGUCAUGAUCUUGCAGUUCAUGAGUUCAAGUCCAGCACUGGGCUCUGUGCUGACAGCUCAGAGCCUGGAGCCUGCUUUGGAUUCUGUGUCUGCCUCACUCUCUGCCCCUCCCCCACUCAUGCUCGGUCUCUGUCUCUCAAAAAUAAAUACACGUAAAAAAAAAAAAAAAGGAAUAUAAUCAGUGCAUGAAAACCACCAGUUAGAAACUUAUACUGUUCUGUACAUGAUUUUAAAAUAUCAAGAUAGGGGCACUUGGGUGGCUCAGUCACUUAAGUGGCCAACUCUUGAUUUUGACUCAGGUCAUGAUCUCAUGGUUUGUGAGUGUGAGCCCUGCGUUGGGCUCUGUGCUGACAGCACACGGAGCCUGCUUCAGAUCCUAAGUCUCCCUCUCUCUGUCCUUCUUCUAUUCGUGAGCUCUCUCAAAAGUAAAUAAAUGUAAAAAAAAUUAAAACCAUCAGAAUAAAUAUUUUUAAAUGUUCUCAUACACAUUGGAAAGCCUGAAAUUCCAUGCAUUGCUUUGAUGUCUCUGAGCCUCCCCCCCCGCCCCAGAGCCUCGCUGGGAGUUCCCUGCUUUCCUCAGGUCUGUCCCCAACCAGUGAAAAAUCUCACACUGGGUAGUUCCCUAUCAUCUGGCCUCACUGCCCCCCACCUGGACCUCAACCUAAUAGGUUCACUUUUCUGCAGGCCAGCAAAACUCCCAAGACAAUUCCAUCCUUCUGCAGGGACCAGGGGUCACCUCCCGCUCUUGCCACUACAGAGCCUGCGUCUCAUGGCCCCUGCUGGUUCAUCUUGCCAUGUGGGCCUUGCAUGCAACUCCCAUGUGGGCCUUGCAUGCCGUGUAGUGCCCUCCUCCCCCAGGCUGGGAGUAUUGUAAGUGACCCACUGCCAUUACUGGGGACUGUGCAUUUGACCAUCUCAUACCUUUUAGGGCCUGGAAUCCCUACUUCACCAACAGGGUGAAUAGGAGGUGGUCAGAAGAGCAUGUAGGCAUAAGCUUUGGUGUUUCUCCUUCCUUUCCCAAAUGCAUCCUGGCAGCCCUUUUAGCUCCAACCAAGGUCAAGUCAGGACUUGGUCUCUUAGGAAGUUUUUGCCGUGUUAUCAAUGUUUGCAAGUGAGUUAUAGGUUCUUCCCGUGCACUGCAAGGUCCUAUGGUUUCUUUGCCUGUAAAAGAUAGCUCAUUAAGCUCUAAUCCAAUAGCCCAAUAAAAAAGGAACAAUAGAGACAAAACAGUGGAAGAAAUCAUAAUGCAUUUUAUAAUUCUUCCUGAAAUCUGGUCCAAGCUGGCCUGGUUAGAAAUCCAUUUCUAAGAAGAAAGAACUACUUUUAAAAAGAAAAGAACUUUUAUGAACCCUUGCUAUUAUGCAUGGCGCAGAGUUAUAUGAAGAAAAUAAAUCAUUCUAAUAUGUUUACCAAAGCUUAUAGUUACUCGUGACAAUAAGAAUGGGUGUUAAGUCCAUAGAUUAGGGGUUGCAAACUCAACUCAUGACAAGAACCAGGCAGGUAAUUAAAUGGCUGAAGCAGGGUGGAGGAUGAUCUAAUUUUAAAUGUUGGCAACUAAUUAAAAUGUAUUAAAAGUCCUGCAUAAGCCAAACAAAACACAUCUGGGGACCACAUGUCCAAGGGCAAGCCUGGAGCAACUUUUGAAAUCCUGUUCAUUCUUCAAGGCCUGAAUUGUGGGCAUGCCCUUCCAAGAAUCCUGUGACUGCAGGGGUGGGUCAGGCUGAGCCUGCCCUUCCUGGAGCUUUUAUUGAACUGGCCAUGAGAAGUACAAGCGAUGGCCCUUUUGUUCCCUCACUGUUGCCUCAGUGGGGCUUUUAUUCCUCAUAGGAUUGAAGGUCCUUGGGAACAGAGACCAUGUUUUAUGUUUCUCUCAUUGUUUUCACACCUUUUAGUUCCUGACUCAAUAAUAAUAAUAAUAAUAAUAAUAAUAAUAAUAAAUAUAAUAAUGGCAGCAGCUACCAUUUAUAAAGCUCUUUCCGUGAGUCUGACCCAUUUCUUUUUUUAAAAAAAUUUUUACAUUUAUUUAUUUUUUGAGAGACAUAGAGAGACAGAGCACAAGUUGGGGAGGGGAAGAGAGAGAAGGAGACACAGAAUCUGAAGCAGGCUCCAAGCUCCCAGCUGUCAGCACAGAGCCCGACAUGAGGCUCGAACUCACAAACUGUGAGAUCAUGACCUGAGCCGAAGUCGGAUGCUUAACCAACUGAGCCACCCAGGCGCCCCAAGUCUGACCCAUUUCUAAUGGGUUUUACUUAUAUGAUUUAAUUUUCACAAUCCUUGUGAGGGAGGUACUAUUGUCAUCCCAUUUUACUGAUUGGCCAGCUGAGGCGCAGAGAAGUGAAGUGACUGGUCAAGGUCGCCCAGCUGGUGAGAUGUGGAGCCAGUUAAUUUGGCCAGUCGGAUUCCAUAGCAUGUGUGCUCAGGCACUACAGUACAACUAUUAACUAGUUCAACAUAGUUGUUUUCUAGCUAAGAGUUUUAAACUUUUUUGCGCCGCAGUGUUUCGCACAUAGUGCUAGUGACUUUUAAGAUGGUGAGCUGAAAAACCUUUCUGUUUUAUUUCCACCUCUCUUCCCUUUCUGUCUUGUGUCCGCUUUUGAUUCCUAAUAAGGGACGGAAUAGUGGAAUUAACAUACAGCAACGAUACCCGUAAGAUGCCAAAAUAGCCACAUAAUAUUUGUUCUUACUCUUUGCUCAAAAUUAAGCGGAUGUCGGUGCAGGCUCACCAGUCUGGAAGUUUUGUGUGGGCACUCCGCAGCGGAAUCGCCAGAUAAGAGAUACUGAAUAGUUUUGCGAGAAGAACUUGAGAGGAAAGAGGGAAGGUCGUGGCGGUGAGGAGUUUGCCCUUUCUGCAGUUGACAGCGGUGAAUAAAUUACUGGUGAGAUGAACUGGGAAAGGGUCUAGGGUUUUGUGACUGCAGGCAUAUCAAUAUUUGACCCUUGCUUCAUUAGUGUUUCUUCUCUAGGUGGAAGAGAAACGAUUCAUGCAUCGGACUUUUUCAUUGUGUCCUCAGGAUCAUAAAACAUAUUUGAUAAACAUUUCUGAGACCAAGUUGCUCUGAGAUUGUUAUCGUUACUAACUAUUCUUUGUGUAAUAGCAGAACUCGUUUUGUAAGACACAAAUGACCCUAUUCUCCUGGUCUGAAUGGAAGAUGGAGAUUUGCUCGUCACAUCCACCCGUGUAUGUUCUGGUAUGUUCUAAGUUUAUUUUAUUAUUAUUAUCUUUUAUUUAGAGAGAGAUAGAGAACAAGUGGGGAAGGGGCAGAGGGAGAGAAGGACGGAGAAAAUCCCAAGCAGGCUUCGCACUGUCAGUGCAGAUCCCGAUGUGGGGCUCAAACUUAGAAACCGUGAGAUCAUGACCUGAGUCGAAGUCAAGACUCAGAAGAUUUGCCAACAGAGGGACCCAGGGGCCCCUGUUCUGAUACGUUCUAACACCACUUGAGAGUUGCUUGGGUCUCUGGCUGUUGAGAAAAGCCUUAAUGGUUUGCUUUCUAGAGGCAGGAUACAUGCACUGUGGGAGGAUGUAGAAAAGAAUAAAAAUGGACUCCUUCACCUUCUCGAUCUCAAGUCCUCUCCUGGCCAGACUGCUGCAGACAGAGGUGGCACAUGGCCUUUGGACAUAGCCCUUCGAUGCUGCUGUGAACAUGAAUCAUGACGAUAUUUUGAGAAGUCCUUCUACUGAUGCUCAGGCUGAAAGCCGUGGUCACUUGACCACAUAUCUGCACCUAACAUGUCAACAUCCUCGCCAUACACCUCAGUCCUUCUGCUGCCAAUCACAGCUUGUCUAUCUUAAGUCCCAUCCCC
rnacentral:lncRNA from 1 species